GGUUGUCGUCAGCUCGUGUCGUGAGAUGUUGGGUUAAGUCCCGCAACGAGCGCAACCCUCGUCCUAUGUUGCCAGCGGGUCAUGCCGGGGACUCAUGGGAGACUGCCGGGGUCAACUCGGAGGAAGUGGGGAUGACGUCAAAUCAUCAUGCCCCUUAUGACCUGGGCUACACACGUGCUACAAUGGUUGGUACAACGAGUUGCGAGUCGGUGACGGCGAGCUAAUCUCUUAAAGCCAAUCUCAGUUCGGAUUGUAGGCUGCAACUCGCCUACAUGAAGUCGGAAUCGCUAGUAAUCGCGGAUCAGCACGCCGCGGUGAAUACGUUCCCGGGCCUU
rnacentral:rRNA from 1 species